AGGAGGGAGUGGUCUCGGCCUCGCCCCCGCGCAGCCCUCCAGGACUGCUUUCAGCACCCGAGUUCCCGCUCCCUGUGGCCACUGUCUCCGCGCCGUUCCAUAACCUGGGGUCUCGACUCUUCCCGCCUCCGCCCGCCGUCCUCGGACUCAGCCUCCCGGCGCAGAGAGCUUUGAAGACAAGCGGUGGAAUUAGCUGGUCGGGGACAGUUAAUAAGAAACCUCUAGGUGAACUCCAGUCCCUCUUUCUGUCCCUGCAUCUGUCCAUCCUCCUGGAGUGACGGGCAGGGCCAACCCCGGGCCAGACUCUUCGAUAGCCCACGGUCUCUCUAGACCGCGUGGUAGUUCCCAGGCAAGGGAGCAAUUCCUGAGGCCAAGAAGACUCACGGAGGAGGCAUCACUGAGAGGAGUGGCUGGAGGGGUGGGGUAGGGGGACCGUCUUUCCAACCUGCCUGAGUGCUGCGAUGCGCCAGGCAAUGCGACCAGGGCCGUCCCUGACGCCUAAAACACCUGCCAGCGCUGGUCCCAGGACUUCCUGCCUUUAAGAACAGGUUACCCCUACCCUCUCGUCUAGCUUCUGCUCUCCAGUUACCUCCUAGGAUGUCCGGGAAGGAGACCCUCUUACCUGCCGCCUAAGACCCCCAAAAGGUGUCCUGGCCGGACAGUGGGGGAGGGCAGCAGAGAACAGCCCAUCCUUUCCUCUUAGCUCCCAAGCCUUUCAGGGCCUAGAACAAUGGUUGUUACGUCGUAGUUGUUUAAUAGAACAUAUGGCGAAUUUCCCCAUGGUCUUUGGCUCACCUCCUCCAGAAAGCCUCCUCUGACCACUCUCCACUCUCAGGCGGGAUGAGAUGCCAUUUCUCUUCUCCGUGUUCACCCAGCACCCUAGCCCUGCCAUCAGGGCAUUGUGUUGUGAUCUCAUCUU
rnacentral:lncRNA from 1 species